UACGGGGGGGGCAAGCGUUGUUCGGAAUUACUGGGCGUAAAGGGCGCGUAGGCGGCCUUCUAAGUCAGACGUGAAAUCCCCCGGCUUAACCUGGGAACUGCGUCUGAUACUGGGAGGCUUGAGUAUGGGAGAGGGAUGUAGAAUUCCAGGUGUAGCGGUGAAAUGCGUAGAUAUCGAGAGGAACACCUGCGGCGAAGGCGGGUUGCUGGGCUGACACUGACGCUGAUGCGCGAAAGCCAGGGGAGCGAACAGG
rnacentral:rRNA from 1 species